rnacentral:rRNA from 1 species
AGGUUAACCGCAUAGGGAAGCCGUAGAGAAAUCGAGUCCGAACAGGGCGAUAGUCGCUGGGUGUAGACCCGAAACCAAGUGAUCUACUCAUGGCCAGGAUGAAGGUGCGGUAACACGCACUGGAGGUCCGAACCCACUAAUGUUGAAAAAUUAGGGGAUGAGCUGUGGGUAGGGGUGAAAGGCUAAACAAACUUGGAAAUAGCUGGUUCUCUCCGAAAACUAUUUAGGUAGUGCCUCAAGUAUCACCAUCGGGGGUAGAGCACUGUUAUGGCUAGGGGGUCAUCGCGACUUACCAAACCAUUGCAAACUCCGAAUACCGAUGAGUGCGAGCUUGGGAGACAGACGUCGGGUGCUAACGUCCGGCGUCAAGAGGGAAACAACCCAGACCGCCAGCUAAGGUCCCAAAGAUUGGCUAAGUGGAAAACGAAGUGGGAAGGCUAAAACAGUCAGGAUGUUGGCUUAGAAGCAGCCAUCAUUUAAAGAAAGCGUAAUAGCUCACUGAUCGAGUCGUCCUGCGCGGAAGAUGUAACGGGGCUAAGCCAGUCACCGAAGCUGCGGAUAUGUAGUAAUACAUAUGGUAGGAGAGCGUUCUGUAAGCCUGUGAAGGUGUCUUGUAAAGGAUGCUGGAGGUAUCAGAAGUGCGAAUGCUGACAUGAGUAGCGAUAAUGGGGGUGAAAAGCCCCCACGCCGUAAGCCCAAGGUUUCCUGUUCAACGUUCAUCGGAGCAGGGUGAGUCGGCCCCUAAGGCGAGGCAGAGAUGCGUAGCUGAUGGGAAGCAGGUUAAUAUUCCUGCACCGUCGUAUGAUGCGAUGGGGGGACGGAUCGCGGAAGGUUGUCUGACUGUUGGAAUAGUCAGUUUCUGCUUCAUAGAAGGUGCUUAGGCAAAUCCGGGC